rnacentral:rRNA from 1 species
CCGCUGAUGGAUGAGCCUGCGGCGCAUUAGCUAGUUGGUAGGGUAAAGGCCUACCAAGGCGACGAUGCGUAGCCGACCUGAGAGGUUGAACGGCCACAUUGGGACUGAGACACGGCCCAGACUCCUACGGGAGGCAGCAGUGGGGGAUAUUGCACAAUGGGGGAAACCCUGAUGCAGCGACGCCGCGUGGAGGAAGAAGGUCUUCGGAUUGUAAACUCCUGUUGUUGGGGAAGAUAAUGACGGUACCCAACAAGGAAGUGACGGCUAACUACGUGCCAGCAGCCGCGGUAAAACGUAGGUCACAAGCGUUGUCCGGAAUUACUGGGUGUAAAGGGAGCGCAGGCGGGAAGACAAGUUGGAAGUGAAAUCCAUGGGCUCAACCCAUGAACUGCUUUCAAAACUGUUUUUCUUGAGUAGUGCAGAGGUAGGCGGAAUUCCCGGUGUAGCGGUGGAAUGCGUAGAUAUCGGGAGGAACACCAGUGGCGAAGGCGGCCUACUGGGCACCAACUGACGCUGAGGCUCGAAAGUGUGGGUAGCAAACCAGGAUUAGAUACCCUGGUAGUCCACACCGUAAACGAUGAUUACUAGGUGUUGGAGGAUUGACCCCUUCAGUGCCGCAGUUAACACAAUAAGUAAUCCACCUGGGGAGUACGCCCGCGAGGUUGAAACUCAAAGGAAUUGACGGGGGCCCGCACAAGCAGUGGAGUAUGUGGUUUAAUUCGACGCAAACGGGAAGAACCUUACCAAGUCUUGACAUCCUGUGACAGACGUAGAAAUACGUUCUUCCUUCGGGACACAGAGACAGGUGGUGCAUGGUUGUCGUCAGCUCGUGUCGUGAGAUGUUGGGUUAAGUCCCGCAACGAGCGCAACCCUUAUGGUCAGUUACUACGCAAGAGGACUCUGGCCAGACUGCCAGGGAUAACCUGGAGGAAGGCGGGGAUGACGUCAAAUCAUCAUGCCCCUUAUGAUUUGGGCUACACACGUGCUACAAUGGCGUAAACAAAGGGAAGCGAGCCUGUGAAGGUAAGCAAAUCCCUAAAAGGUGUCUCAGUUCGGAUUGCAGGCUGCAACUCGCCUGCAUGAAGUCGGAAUUGCUAGUAAUCGCGGAUCAGCAUGUCGCGGUGAAUGCGUUCCCGGGCCUUGUACUCACCGCCCGUCA